CGAACGCUGGCGGCGUGCCUAAUACAUGCAAGUAGAACGCUGAAGGAUGAUCUUGCUCUUCUGGAUGAGUUGCAAACGGGAGAAUAACGCGUAUGUAACCUGCCUGGUAGUGGAGGAUAACUAUUGAAAACAAAAACUAAUACCGCAUAGUAACAGUUGUUGCUCUGACAACUGUUUGAAAAGUGCACUUGCAUCACUAUCGCAAUGGACCUGCGUUGUAUUAUCUAUUUGGUGGGGUAACGGCUCACCAACGCGACGAUACCUAGCCGACCUGGAGAUGGUGAUCGGUCGCACUGAGACUGAGACACGACCCAUACUCCUACGGGAGGCAGCAAUAAGGAAUCUUCGGCAAUGGACCAGAGUCUGACCCACCAACGCCGCGUGAAUGAAUAACGUAUUCGGAUCCUAUAGCUCUGUUGUAAAAGAAGAACGAGUGUGAGAAUGGAAAGUUCACACUGUGACUGUAUCUUACCAGAAAGGGACGGCUAACUACGUGCCAUCAGCCGAGGUAAUACGUAUGUCCCGAGCGUUGUCCGGAUUUAUUGUGCGAUAGAGCGAGCGCAGGCGGCUACAUAAGUCUGAAGUUAAAGGCUGUGGCUUAACCAUACUACACUUUGGAAACUGUUUAACUUGAGUGCAAGAGGGGAGAGUGGAAUUUCAUGUGUAGCGCUGAAAUGAGUAGAUAUAUGGAGGAACACCGGCAGUGAAAGCGGCUCUCUGGCUUGUAAUUGACGCUGAGGAUCAUAAGCGUGGGGAGCAAACAGGAUUAGAUACUAUGGUAGUACUCGCCGUAAACGAUGAGUGAUAGGUGUUAGAGCCUUUCCGGGGUUCAGUGCCGUAGGUAACGCAUUAAGCUAUUCGCCUGGGGAGUACGACUGCAAGGUUGAAACUCAAAGGAAAUGACGGGGGCCCGCACAAGCGGUGGAGCAUGUGGUUUAAUUUGAAGCAACGCGAAGAACCUUAACAGGUCUUGACAUUCCUCUGCCCGCUUUAGAGAUAGAGUUUUCCUUUGGGACAGAGGUGACAGGUGGUGCAUGGUUGUUGUCAGCUUGUGUUGUGAGAUGUUGGGUUAAGUUCCGCAACGAGCGCAACCCCUAUUGUUAGUUGCCAUCAUUUAGUUGGGCACUUUAGCGAGACUGCCGGUAAUAAACCGGAGGAAGGUGGGGAAGACGUCAAAUUAUCAUGCCCCUUAUGACGUGGGGUACACCCGUGGUUCAAUGGGUGGUACAAGGAGUAGCAAGUCGGUGGAGACAAGGUCAUCUUUUAAAGCCAGUCUCAGUUCGGAUUGUAGGCUGCAACUCGCCUACAUGAAGUCGGAAUUGCUAGUAAUCGCGGAUCAGCACGCCGCGGUGAAUACGUUCCCGGGCCUUGUACACACCGCCCGUCACACCACGAGAGUUGGUAACACCCGAAGUCGGUGAGGUAACCGUAAGGAGCCAGCCGCCUAAGGUGGGAUAGAUGAUUGGGGUGAA
rnacentral:rRNA from 1 species